UUCAGGAUGGCCGAGUGGUUAUGGUAUCGGACUCUUAAUCCGAUUCGCUGCAGCGAAUGUAGGUUCGAUUCCUACUCCUGAGCAA